GGCGGGUCCGGCCGCGGAACCUGCGCCUGCGCCCGCGCUGCGGACGCGGCGACCGGUUUUUCUGACCCAGCUGGAAGGGCCGGCGCAGGUGGCCUCGAGUGCGUGUUCCUCUUGGCCUCUGAUGUCUGCGAGGGGAAUUCAGCAACAGCGACUCCUGUCUGGUGCUCUGACCCCAGCUUCCUCAAUCCAGGCUCUAGAGAGGCGCCCUCAGCCGAGCCCCGGGGUCCCGCGGGCCGCGGACCCUCCCUCCCUUUCCCUGCUCUGCACCCCGGGCCGGCGCUCCGUCCUGGGCGGAUGCCCCUCUGCGCCCUGUGGGCCCGCGCCGGCGCUUGUCCCCGUCCCGACCUGGGUUGGCCAUCACCCUGCGUUGGGUCGGGGGCUGUGUUUGUGCUUUCUGGCAUUGUAUUCGGCCCCGAGCGCUUACUGGACACUCAACAAAUGGCUGUCCCUUCUCUGGCUGCUGUCUGCUAGCCCUCUCACCAGCCUGGGCUCUGUCAUUCGGCCUGCCUGCUUUAAGGAAUACUCAGUCUACCCCAGCACACUCCCUCUGCUUGAAGAGCGGGCUGGAAGGAGAAAGGUGUCCUCUUUCUGCUCAUGUGGAAAUUGCCUGGGAAGCUAGUAAGCUGUUGGCUCUGAAGGCAGUUGGCUGUCCUGAGUUUUCGAGUCCCUUGGAAGGAUUCUGGGGAGUUGGCCGAUUGGCUGCAGACCCGAGCUCAUCUGACGAUGUGAACAGCCUCCUGAGACCUGCAGGAAUGUGAUGACAUCAGUCCUUGUCCCCCUAGCUGGUCCACUUUAGCUCAUGGGAUCCUCUGACGACCUCCCUGGAAGGAGACGCUCCCUUACAGAUGGGGAAGCUGGGCCUUUUGGCUGAAGUCAUUGAUUCCCGAGGUCACACGGCUGUAGGGCAGAAGGUGGCAGGACAGACACGGAUGGCGGCCCCCCUGUUCCGGCUGCUCGCUGUUGAGCCCGUUUGACCUGCUGACCUCGUGUUACACACAAGGAAAUGGAAGUCCUCCGAGGCGAAACAACACCCAGGCGCCAGGACCAUCUGCUACCGGCCCCAGCCCAGAUGAUACAGUUAGAACCUACCCACAGCAUCCUCUCCCGCCUUCAGACAGUUCCAGGAACAAGGAACAUGUAUGACCCCCAUCUCAGAUGCUGCAGACUUUGCCUGGGACCUGUGUGAGUCUGAGCCCUCAGCCCGGGAGAGCCAUCGUCCCUGUGGGGUCCUGUGGCUGGCAGACAGUAGCGGUGGAGUGGAGGAGGGCUACCUGUCCACCCUCCGUACCCACUCUCCUCCCAGCCAUGUGCUUGGACCACGGAUUCCCCGGGCCAGACACACUUUGCUAGGCAGAAGAGCCCCCAACAGUUGCGAAUGCCAUUUCCCUCCCCCCGACAAGGAAAUGAUGCUCUUGAAAGGAAGCCGUGUAAGGAGUGGAGGAGGUCCACGUGUUUUCCUGGAAGCUCGGAGCCUGCCGUGGCCCUGCCGUGGCCCUGCCGUGGCCCCUGCCCUCCCUUUGCCGCCGGUUCCCUCCUCUGGACUCGCCCUGCUCGGAAGCAGCCGUUCGCGGACCUGACCGUACCCCUUUCUGGAAAGCACUGCUGCGGCUGUUAGGUGAGCUGGCGGGAAGGCAGGGUGUUCUGGGCCCGGCUGUGAUGCCAGCCGCGGAGGCCGUGAUGGAGCUUCCGGGCCAUCCUGGCAACGGGCGCGCGUGCAGUUUACGGCGAUCCCGCGCUCGCACCGUGGGGGUGAUGCCGGCGAGAACGACACGGCACGGGGCCAAACGCAAAUUGUUUUAAAACGCACGAGCGAACUUGGUUCAGGUGGUGCCAGAGAAUUCUCGAUUUCAGCGGAGGGUGAUUUUGUGCACGUUUACUGCUCUCAUCCGAUAAAAAUGCGACUGCUCGCGGAGACAUUGGGUUGCGGUUUUAGGAGACGCUGUCAAGGAAAGGCCACAGAUUUAACCCAAUUUGCCGCACUGAGUUUGGUUGCUUUCUUCAAAGCGCCGUCAGCCCUUCAAAUCCGCGAGCUUUCUUUUUCUCUGCGAGAUGGUUACUCUGACCGUUUAGAAUAAUUUGAGUGAGCGACGCUCAACUUGAGCCACUCAAAGUGCCCGAGUGCCCUCAGGUGAGGCCUGUCAGGUGUGUGGUGUGGUUCCUGAUCCCAAGGAGUUACAGAAAGACAGCCUCGAAUAGCAGGGUGUUCAUGGGAAAACGUGGCACGGGCCGUAGGUCCCACCAGGGGUCAGGGAACGAACGGCUGGGGUCACCCACCGUGUAAGCAACACCUGCUCCAUCCCGAGCUGAAUUCACAGUGUACGACCCGUGUAGCUGUAGAGAGGGGGGUCACGCCAGGGUGCAUCAUUUCUGCACUUAGAAGGGUCCUGCCCGUGAUGGAAUGCUCCGUGUCACCGUUUUGAAACACUUGGUCACCAGGAGCCUGGAGCUGUGUAUUUGCAUUUUGUGCCAAAGCCGUUUGCUUUUCUUUCUGGACACACAGCUCGACCCCAUCGCUCACCGUCUCUUGCAGCCAGGAAUGGCCACGUGACCAGUUUUAGCCAAAGGAAUGUGAGUACCGUUUGCGCGCCUGGCCCUCCCCCAACACGAGCUUGGUUCAGGGGGGUGCCAGAGAGUUCUGGAGCUCAGCGGAGAGUUACUUGUGCACUUUCACAGCCGCCAGCCAGCCACGAUGCAGCUGCUCACGGGGUCAUUGGGUUGUGCUUCUAGAAGCUGCUGUCAAGGAAAGUAGACCAGGCUUCCCCCCCUGUGGCUCACUGGGCUGUGUCCCCCAGGGGGAUGUGGAAGCCCGCGCUGAGGCUGGCGUAGCUGCUGUUGGCCUGUGUCUGGGCGUCCGGAUAACUGUGCAGAGCAGGAGGCCCCCUCCCUGUCCCGGGCACUCGGAGCUGCUCAGGACUCUCACCGGAGCAAAAAGUAAAUGUCUCUCGUCAAGAGAUUCCAGACUCAGUUCUGUGUUUUCUGUAGCCCCACCUGCCGUGAUGCUUCUUUUCAGAGGAAGGAAGUCUUUCUCAGAAGUCUCCCCGCGACUCCCUCCCCUUGGAUUGUUGUUUGGAAUUCAGCCUCGUGGCCUGUCCCUACACCGAUCCCCGUCCAGGGCACGGGCCCUGCCACCAUCCGCUUGGAUCAUCAGGACUUGCUCCUAGAAGGCCCGUGGCUCUGCACAGCUCAGCACAACCGGGCUUUGAACAGCGGGCAAUGAGAGACACUUGCCAGUGGGAGAGCAGCCAAACAGUAUUUGCCACAGGGCAGGAAAAGGAAGGCUGUGGGUUUUCUUUUUCCCAGCUUCAUGGAGAUAAAAUCGACUUAUAACAUCGCAUAAGCUUCAAGUGCACAAGGUGAUGAUCUGAUCCACGUAGGUAUCAGGAAACAGUUACCACAAUAAGGUUAGUGAAUACAUCCAUCACCUCACAUAAUCACAUUUGUUUUGUGUGGUGAGAAUAUUAAGGAUGUACUCUCUUAGCAA